GCUUAACACAUGCAAGUCGAACGGAUCCUUCGGGAUUAGUGGCAGACGGGUGAGUAACACGUGGGAACGUGCCUUUUGGUUCGGAACAACUCAGGGAAACUUGAGCUAAUACCGGAUGUGCCCUUCGGGGGAAAGAUUUAUCGCCAUUAGAGCGGCCCGCGUCUGAUUAGCUAGUUGGUGAGGUAAAGGCUCACCAAGGCUUCGAUCAGUAGCUGGUCUGAGAGGAUGAUCAGCCACACUGGGACUGAGACACGGCCCAGACUCCUACGGGAGGCAGCAGUGGGGAAUAUUGGACAAUGGGCGCAAGCCUGAUCCAGCCAUGCCGCGUGAGUGAUGAAGGCCUUAGGGUUGUAAAGCUCUUUCGACGGGGACGAUAAUGACGAUACCCGUAGAAGAAGCCCCGGCUAACUUCGUGCCAGCAGCCGCGGUAAUUC
rnacentral:rRNA from 1 species